rnacentral:lncRNA from 1 species
CUUCAACGGAUUCAACGCUUACUGGUUAAUGUUUAUGGCAUCUGAUCCAUCCACAAGGCCCAAGGUCGCUUCCAUUUUGCAAGAAGCUUCCAGCCAUGGCUUAACUGUUGCUAGAACUUGGGCUUUCAAUGAUGGAGCUUACAGAGCCCUUCAGGUUUCUCCUGGUUCCUACGACGAGAAAGUAUUCCGGGUCAGUGUAUAUAUAUUAAUUGAAUCCAUCUUCCAUUAAUCUUUUUAAUGCAAUCUCAGAUGUGAUUUUCUGCAGAACUAGUUCUCAUUUUUUCUGCUAGAAAUCUUAAUGAAAGAUUAAAGAAACUUUGUAUUUCAUCCUUCUAAUCUUACUCUUAAACUAAGUUAUGUGGGUUUUUGGAUAACUAGUUCUGAUUUUCCCAUCAUUUUCUUCCUACAUAACAUGGCAAGAAAUUAAUUAUAUAUCCCAUGGUGAUGAAGUAGUGCAUGCGUGUUGCGUAGGGUUUGGACUUUGUGAUAUCAGAAGCAGGAAAAAAUGGGGUACGGUUGAUACUGAGCUUGGUGAACAACUGGAAAGAUUUUGGUGGGAAAAAUCAGUAUGUGGAAUGGGUAAAGAAGGAGCAUGGCGAGUACGUGAACAGUGAAGAUGAUUUCUUUACGCAUCCUGUAGCCAAGCAACACUUCAAAAACCAUAUCAAGGUAACUAUAUCCAACCAUGCAUGCACCACUAUAGCCACAACAACUAUAGUAGUGGUGGGCCACCUAAUUGUUUGCGUCUAGUUUCUCCCAUUGCAAGCAUAAUUAGCUUUUCUAUAAAUGUAAACAUCACCUCACUGUCAAACAUUAUUACCAAAUGACACGUUUAAUGCUUUUUCAUCCAAAGACUAAUCAAUCUCAGAGAUUAAUUAGUUUUCAGCUUUUUUAUGCAUUUAAAAAAUAAUUAUCACCCCACUUACCAUCAUAAUGUUCAUUAAGCAAUUCAAAUUUAGCUAAUUAAUACUUUGUGGUUUACAAAAUAUGCAGGCUGUGCUGACAAGAAAAAACGCAGUAAGUGGGGUGGCAUAUAAGGACGAUCCUGCCAUAUUUGCAUGGGAACUUAUGAAUGAACCCCGUUGCCAACAAGCCAACUCUGGAAAAGUUAUUCAGGUCCUUUCUCAGUUGCUCUCAUGCUAAUAGUAGUUUAGAUAUUACCAAACAUCAUAGUAUAUGCAUAAUAACUGGCCACACACGUAACACACAUAUGUGAUUCCUUUUGUUUGGCUUUCUUUCUUGACAUUUAUUUGACAGCAUUGUUGUCAUGUUAUUCCUUUCCUUGAAUUCAAGAUUCCCAAAUGAAAUAGGCCACAGAUUUUGGAAGGGCCAAACUCAAUAUUAUCGCUGUGAUGUGGACACUGAUUAAUUAAUUGUCAGGAAAUAUAAAAAUAAUUAAACUUGGUCGUUAAUUAUGCAAAUAUAGAUAUAGAUAAUUAUUCUAUAUGCAGAUGAGAAUAUUAAUAUAUGUAUCUUGUGCAUUUGCAGGAAUGGGUGAUUGAGAUGGCUGCAUACGUCAAAUCCAUCGAUAGUAAUCAUUUGCUUGAAAUAGGACUGGAAGGGUUCUAUGGUGAAGGAAAAAAACAAUUAAAUCCUGGGUAUCAACUUAUUGGCACUGAUUUCAUUUCUAACAACCUAGUUCACCAAGUCGAUUUUGCUACCAUGCAUCUCUACCCUGAACAAUGGUACGCACGACAUAUAAUAGUAAUAAUUAUGUGCACAUAUAUUUUCACUGAUAAAAUGAUAUUAAGAAGAAAAGUAAUAAAUGCAGGCUGCCAGGUUCAAAUGAAGCUGCUCAGGUUGCAUUUGUUGACAAGUGGCUACAGACACACAUUGAGGAUGCGAAAAAUGUUCUGGGGAAACCUGUUGUUGUUGGUGAGUUUGGGAAGUCUUGUAGGUCAUACAGUGUGGCUGAAAGGGACAGUUACUUGAGCAAAAUGUAUAAUGCCAUAUACAGUAGUGCUAGCAGUGGGGGACCCUGUGCUGGAGGGCUUUUUUGGCAGCUCAUGG